CCUACGGGAGGCAGCAGUGGGGAAUAUUGGACAAUGGGCGAAAGCCUGAUCCAGCAAUGCCGCGUGUGUGAAGAAGGCCUUAGGGUUGUAAAGCACUUUCGGUCGGGAGGAAAAACCUGAUGUUAAUAGCUUCAGGCUUGACGCUACCGACAUAAGAAGCACCGGCUAACUCUGUGCCAGCAGCCGCGGUAAUACAGAGGGUGCAAGCGUUAAUCGGAAUUACUGGGCGUAAAGCGCACGCAGGCGGAUAGGUAAGUUGGAUGUGAAAGCCCCGGGCUCAACCUGGGAACGGCAUUCAAAACUGCUUAUCUAGAGUGCAGUAGAGGAGAGUGGAAUUUCCGGUGUAGCGGUGAAAUGCGUAGAUAUCGGAAGGAACACCAGUGGCGAAGGCGACUCUCUGGACUGACACUGACGCUCAUGUGCGAAAGCGUGGGGAGCAAACAGGAUUAGAUACCCUGGUAGUCCACGCCGUAAACGAUGAGAACUAGAUGUUGGGCAGUUUAAACUGCUUAGUGUCGCAGCUAACGCAAUAAGUUCUCCGCCUGGGGAGUACGGUCGCAAGAUUAAAACUCAAAUGAAUUGACGG
rnacentral:rRNA from 1 species